CAUUCUAUAGCUCAGCUUUUGCUGCAGUGCAGGAGGAAGCAACCCUGCGUGAAGUCAACCUCAGCCUUGUAUUCACAUUGUUUUUCAGGGCCGUGAUGGGCCAAAGGGGGACCGUGGUACUGCUGGGUCUGAAGGCCCCUCUGGACCCCCAGGACCCCCUGGACUACCUGGUAGCAUUGGCCCUCCCGGACAGGUUGUUUAUAUGAAAGGAGUUCCAUCUGCACCAAUUCCAGGUCCGCCGGGUCCUCCAGGAACACCUGGUGUCCCGGGAAUACCAGGAGCUGUUGGAGUCAGAGGGGAAAGAGGACCAACUGGCCCAAAAGGUGAUGCUGUAAGUCAAACCGUCAUCCUGGUUAUUUUAAAAAUGCAACAAUGGCAUUUCAUUUGUUUUGAA
rnacentral:lncRNA from 1 species